AGGACAGGUCGGGACUGUAUGCGGUCCAGUGCAGAUGGGCAUAAGUUUAUUUUUAGGUGGUUAUUUUUCUACAGGUAGUUACAUGAGUCGGUAAUGCGCUCUUAUUUCGCAUUAGCGGUGAAUCCGUUCCUAAUACGUGUUUGCUUUGCUCAUGUAACCCCGGUCCCUGUCACACCGACCCGAAUCUGGGUCGGGUGAUCUACCAGCCGCGGAUGUAAAGAAGCAAGCUUUCUUAACGUCUGGUGGAGCAAACUGAGGGGCUACAAACUAAUACAAAAGCAUGGGUUGGAUGGGGUACCAUUUCUGUUCUUUUCUUUUUUUCUUUUUUUUUGGUGAUCUUCAGCGUGCCAGGGCUGUGACUAAAAAUAAGUGGCCUUAAUCCGAUGAGAAAGCACGAAUUUGGGAUACCCUAGGUUUGACCCCUCUAGUCGGUGCCCCCCAUUGUCUCCAAUCAUUCCACCGCCUAUGAUGACCGGGUCACCUCUGCAUAACGGCUGGUCGCUGGAGGAGCGUGCUGCCGCCCCGACGGCGACCUCCUUGGUCCAGGGUGAGACGGUCUAGUGGAAAGCGUCGCCACGGCAUCAUCACCAUGACCAGCGCAGCAUCGGCGGCGGGAAGUUUUUCGCCACAGCAUCAGCAACUGGAUUGUGUCACACAUUCGAAAGUGGCUGAUAAUGUCAGAAGAGACCAUGAGCGCACCAAUAUCACGGACAAACGACGGGAGAAAAAUGGGUGCUAGGGUGCAACUUGGGUGCUCCUCCCGGCAACUGCCUGCGCAUCUGAGAUGAAGCUGAGCUGGUG